rnacentral:tRNA from 1 species
GAUAAAGUGGCUGAGUACAAAGGCGAUGGACUGUAAAUCUAUUAACAAGUUUUUACUUCUUUAUUA